GAUGAACGCUGGCGGCGUGCUUAACACAUGCAAGUCGAACGGAAAGGCUCCUGCUUGCAGGGGUACUCGAGUGGCGAACGGGUGAGUAACACGUGGGUGAUCUGCCCUGCACUUCGGGAUAAGCCUGGGAAACUGGGUCUAAUACCGGAUAGGACCACAUUUUGGAUGGUGUGGUGGAAAGUUUUUCGGUGUGGGAUGAGCUCGCGGCCUAUCAGCUUGUUGGUGGGGUAAUGGCCUACCAAGGCGUCGACGGGUAGCCGGCCUGAGAGGGUGUACGGCCACAUUGGGACUGAGAUACGGCCCAGACUCCUACGGGAGGCAGCAGUGGGGAAUAUUGCACAAUGGGCGCAAGCCUGAUGCAGCGACGCCGUGUGGGGGAUGACGGCCUUCGGGUUGUAAACUCCUUUCGCUAGGGACGAAGCGCAAGUGACGGUACCUGGAGAAGAAGCACCGGCUAACUACGUG
rnacentral:rRNA from 1 species